AGGUACCCAUGGGGCUCUCGGCAGCCAUGCUUCUGAUAGUGCCAUAGAGUUGCCGUCGGGUCGCCUCUUUCUGAUCUAGCUCUAGAUCACUGUGUGUUGGCAUCUCCGGUGUCCUAGCAUCGGCACAAUUCAAGCAUGUGAAAUUGGUGUCGGCAACAUAGUUCUGGUCGUAACUUCUUGUAGGGCUAGUUACCUUACUCCAACAGUAGAUUUGCUCCAACAGGGAGCUAUAGGCUGAGGCAACACUUCUCCGGCUAAAUCAAAAGAGUUGUGUGAUGUGGAUCAACUAUCAAGGUUGUGAGGAAGGAAGUUGGAUGUUUGUUUUGGGUUUUUGAGUUGAGACAAGAGCUCUGAUUUGAGGGCAUACAACACGAUCUACAUUGGAGGC